rnacentral:tRNA from 1 species
AACCUUAGGUUAACUAAACCCUGGGCCUUCAAAGCCUAAAAUAGGAAGCAACCUCCUAGUUU